rnacentral:rRNA from 1 species
CAGCCGCCACGGGAAUACCAGCAGCCCAAGUGGUGGUCGCGUUUAUUGGGCCUAAAGCGCUCGUAGCCUGGCCGGUAAGUUCCCCGUGAAAUCGGGUCGCCCAACGAUUCGGCUUGCGGGGAAUACUGUCGGUCUUGGGGCCGGGAUACGCCGAGGGUACUCCGGGGGUAGCGGUGAAAUGCUGUAAUCCUCGGGGGACUACCAGUGGCGAAGGCGCUCGGCGAUAACGGGCCUGACGGUGAGGGGCGAAAGCUGGGGGCGCGAACGGGAUUAGAGACCCCUGUAGUCCCUGUCUCUUAUA